AACCAGCGAACUACUAUGCACCAGGUCGAAGGUGCAAAACUGGCCCACGAAACCAGGGAGAGAGAGAGGAACGCUAAUGGCUAACUGAUGACGAGGCAUUCCUGUUUCGCUUCUCCUAAAAUGAAGCCAGAUGGCUUACGGAUGGAUUAUUUUUUGCUUCGUGCAGGGAGACGGGGGAAUCUUGAAGCUGCAGGCGAUCCCAAAAACCGGGGAACGAGGAAAUCGUCGUUUCAAAUAAGCAAAGCCACGGAUUGCUUCAGCUACAGAAUAUUUCGUAUUUCCAGAUACACAGGCCUCAAUGUCUUCAGGACUCAGCUGUGUUUGUACGAAGAGAUGAAGUCUACUGUCUGAAAGCAAAACUGGAUUCUGGAGUACCCUUUAAAAAAUACAAAAAUUUCAGCUGCCUUCCAAGAACAUUUACUCAAUAUUUUUUGCCUUAAAAUUACUUUUAACUUCAUACCCAUUGCAAUUUGAAUGCAGUAUAAAUGUUAGAAUGUUUGAGUAAGUGAUACUUACCUUUACUAAAGUAUUUGGAAUUUUAGGUGAGUAAAAAAACAUGAAGCUAAUAGUUACGAACAUCAGUUAUAUAAGUAAUUUUCAAGGACAUUUUUUAAAUGGACAUUUUUUAAAUUUAUCCAUCUGUUGCUACCAUGUGGAUCAAUUACUACUUUGGCUGGGAAAAAAAUGUGCCUCUGUAUGUGUGGGGGAACUAAUAUAAUAUGGGAAAUGAUGCAUAAUCAGUAAUUUUGAAUAUGUAAUAAAACUAUUGCCUUAAAAUAAGGGCAUUAUAGAAUGUACAGAAAUUAAAUGCCUAUGUAAAACAGAAAUUUAUUUUGCAAAUAUAUCUAUUUUUCUAUAUAAAAUAUAAAAAAAUAGUUUACCACUAUGUAUGUUAGGUUCAAGGAUGAUAAAACUAUUUGAGAUGAAUGUGAAAAAGAAUCUUUUACUUCAGUUAAUUUUUAAAAGUGUUUUGAUUCUAGCAUAUAAUCUUAAAUGAGAAUGCCCAAUUCAGCAAAUAUUUAAGACAAUUUAAUACAACAUUAAAUAUAUCCAACUAUAUUUUUUAUUAACAACAGAAUGGUCUUGCUUCUAUCACACCAUAUCAUAAAAUCUAUUUUUUCCAAUCUAGUUUUAUUCAACAUUAAAAUACAUUUCUAUUGGUUUAUUUAGUUCAGCAAAUACAAAUCCCAAAGUAACAUUACUUCAAUAUUAAAGUUAUGGAAGUUUAGAUCCCUUGCUUUUUUAUUUAAUAUUUGUUGAUGUCAGUUAAUUAUUUGUAUCAUUCUGAAUAACUGAGGGUAGUAAAGUAAACAAUUUCAGGACUCCAGUUUAUAAUUGGCAAGCAUUCAGGAUAAUUUCUACCAGAGAAUUCAUUAUUUUAAUAUGAGUAACCAAUGCUAUACUCUGCCUUCUAUAUAAGGUUAUCUCAAAAUAUCUCAUAAUCCUGUUCUAGAGAAAGCACAUUUGGAUUAAUUCUAUUAAAAAUAGCCGUGAGAUGAUCAAUAUGGACAUUAUGCAACCUUCCUAACCUGGUGCCUUAUAGAUAUUAUGAAAUUAGAGCCUACAUUAUUUGUCAUCAAAACAAUGGGACCUAUAGCCUAAAAUAUUUCAAAGAUGUCAGAUAAAGAAAGUCUGAUACAAUGAAGAAGAUUUUGAUAUUCAUCAGGUCAAUAAAACAGAAAACAAGGGUUGGAACUAUUUCCUGCAGGCUAAAUAAUAUGAAAAAUAAUGGCCGUGGCAUACCCUUGAGUGGAAGGAAGACGAAAAUUAAAUCAUUUCAAAAUUGAGAUGAUAAAGAAGAGAGAAAUAAAAUGAGGUUUAGACCAGCCUCAAUUAUAUGUGCUAGAAAAGAAACACAAAGGCAUCUCUUUUGACCUAGAUAACCAACUUACAUAUCUAAGCAAACAAAACAAAACAAAAUUAGGCAAGAGAAUGAAAUUCUAAUUAUUCCACUAAGUAUAUGUAAUAUCAUGAUGCACAUAUAAAGGGAAUCAUACUUGUAUCAUAAUGCCUGUUUCAUUAUUUGCCCCCACAAUGGACAUCCAUAGUCAUUUGUUUCCUGAAUUUAAGCCCCCACUUAGCCAUAAAUGCCCUUGGAUUUUUCUUCAUUCUAUCCAAGCCCACUUAAGUUUAAUCCACUUUAUAAACUUACGAAAAUAAAAUUGGGGAGGGGGAAUCAUAUAUGCUACCUAGAGACCUUGGGGUAUAGUGAAAUAUAAAUGAAAUAAAUAGGAAUCAUACCAGUCCUUGAAACUGUUCUCCCUUAAAAUCAAAACUAUACUCACUUCCUUCCUCCAAGUUUCUAAUUUAGUCUUUAAAACAAAGACAUCUUGGAUAAUACAGAAUUUAUCAGUGCCUGAAGCAGCACUCCUGUCUGGAACCACCUCAACUUCCAGUUGAGGGCAAGGUAGCACCUUGAUAAAAACAAAAACAGGUUCCUACACUUGUAGAUGUCAAUUUUUUUUCUGCUGUGAAAAUAUAUUCUGCAUAUGCAUGUUCAGAACACUAAUGAACAUUUGUCAUGUAGCAGCUCCAAUACAAUACUUGAAAGGAUGCAAUGAAGAGCUGUGUUCAGAGAAUGCUUUGCCUACGCGACAAUCAAAUCAAAGGGUUCCCUUGUUUUGUACAGAUAUAAUUCAUAUAUACAGACAAUACUGCUCCGAUAUAUUAUCUAAUUGCAUGCACAUUAACGUAAACAUGCAGGAAGCGCAGAUAUUUGUCAACUCUAGCGGAUUCAGCUAAUUGCCGUGGUCAUUAAAGUUGCUGCAUAUAUCAUACUCCUCAGACCACAUUGAUGGAGGUAAAGGGGACAAAAAUAUUACUGAUAAUCUAACCUGGUAUUUUAUCUUAAUCAUACAUAAAAUAUUUAAAAAACCUAAAAUUUUUAAUAUUUAAUUUUGAUCAAGUAUAAAUUGCCCUUAUCAUCUCCAAUACAUCUGCAUCAGUGUAAGAUAUUGGACACUGUUCAUAAACAAAGGCACAAUGUAGUAAAAAUAAGCAGUUUAAUGGAAAAAAACUAUCUUCUAGAAUUCAUGAAAAUCAGUUGGAAUGCGAAUGGAGACAGCAGUAACAUCCGUGGCUUAAACAAAUGGUACAUAAUCUCAGCUUUACUUUCAGUUUCCAGAUAUACUCUGAUAGCUGAAUCAAAUUGUAAUUUUAAUUGAUAAAUAGGGGGAAAUGGUAAAGAAUGUGGAAAGCAAUCACAUUAAUGAUAUCUUUAAAAUGUAUGUUAAAUUAAAGAGUGAAUCAAUUAAAAUUAUUUUUAAAUGUC